rnacentral:rRNA from 1 species
AGUGUAGGCGGGAUCGUAAGUUAGGAGUUUAACGCAUGGGCUUAACCCAUGACCUGCUUUUAAUACUGCGGUUCUUGAGUAUGGGAGAGGGCGAUGGAAUUCCAGGUGUAGCGGUGGAAUGCGUAGAUAUCUGGAAGAACACCAGUAGCGAAGGCGGUCGCCUGGCCCAAUACUGACGCUGAUGCUCGAAAGCUAGGGGAGCAAACAGGAUUAGAUACCCUGGUAGUCCUAGCCGUAAACGAUGGACACUAGUUGCUGGAGGAGUCAAUCCUUUCAGUGACGAAGCUAACGCAUUAAGUGUCCCGCCUGGGGAGUACGCUCGCAAGGGUGAA